rnacentral:rRNA from 1 species
GAUGAACGCUGGCGGCGUGCUUAACACAUGCAAGUCGAACGAGAAAUGUAGACGGAAGCCUUCGGGCGGAAGCCUUCAUUUCGAGUGGCGGACGGGUGAGUAACGCGUGGGUAACCUGCCUCAUACAGGGGGAUAACAGUUGGAAACGACUGUUAAUACCGCAUAAGACCACAGCAUCGCAUGAUGCGGGGGUAAAAACUCCGGUGGUAUGAGAUGGACCCGCGUUCGAUUAGCCAGUUGGCGGGGUAACGGCCCACCAAAGCGACGAUCGAUAGCCGAUCUGAGAGGAUGACCGGCCACAUUGGGACUGAGACACGGCCCAAACUCCUACGGGAGGCAGCAGUGGGGAAUAUUGCACAAUGGGGGAAACCCUGAUGCAGCGACGCCGCGUGAGUGAAGAAGUACUUCGGUAUGUAAAGCUCUAUCAGCAGGGAAGAAAAUGACGGUACCUGAGGAAGAAGCCCCGGCUAACUACGUG